AAAAUCGAGCUGGGGGGUUCCCUGGUCCCUGGCGACGGGGCGGGGAGCGCCGCGCCAGGGGAGGGGGCGGGCGCGGUAGCGCGGGCCCCGCCGAGGGGGGAACACCUGGCUGAGGCACGGCUGCCGCCGCACCGCUCCGCGCGAACCCAGGGCUCCGGUCCCCGCGCGGGCUCGAGAGUUCGCCCCGACCGGGGGUCUUCCUCCUCCGCCGUUGACAGGCUGCACCCUUAUUUGUUUUCCUCGAACAGUAAAAUAAUGCCGAUCGACUGACAAGUCAUCUAUGGACCCUCGGGCCCACAGUCCCCACAGUUCCUCCACGUCCGCGGCUGAGCAAAGAAGCUGCACGCACGCGCAAGAAACGAGGUCGGAGGAGAGACUGAGGAAGCAAAGUGCGAGCGGCGAACAGCGACGAUUCUGCGCAUGUACAAGGCGCGGAGGUUGGGGUAGGAGUUUGCGCAUGAGCAGAAGUGUCGGGAAAGCUAGAGAAGGGUUAGGAGGCGGUAUUGACAGCUGUGGAGGCAGCCCGCGUUCCCGGCAUGCCCCGGGGCGGCGGGGUUGGCUCUAACGAAUUUGAAUGAGGAGCCUCAGCGCUUUCGGCGCCAUUUUCGAGUGAUGCCUGAUCUCAUCAAUCUAGCGGGAGAGACGGGAUAACCUGUCCGAGAUUAUAGCGCCGCUAGGACUCCGCCGAAAAAUCACUUAAAAAAUUGCCAAAAAUUACUUCGUGCAAAGGGCAGCCCGCAGAGCUUGACCAGGGUUGGCGCAGACGGUUUUGACCUUUAGGAGAGAGCCAAUUCUGGAGAACAACCUAACUUCUCUGAUUGAACACUCACAUAAUGCAUUGGAACAUGAUAGGAGAUUAAGGUUUAAUAAAGAUAAAAUGAAGACCAUAAUAAAAUAGUCCCCUACUUAGCCCAGCAAUUCUUACCUUUCUUACCUACUGGAUGGAAGAUGUCUUUAGAAAGGCAUACCGCAAGGAAUGAACUGCUGUCUGUAAAUUUUGCUUUUACCAAGGUGGAUAUUACUAUCCCUUAUUCUUCGAAAAAGUUUUAUUCUCAGUGUUGUUUCUCAUUGAGUAUUAACAAAAAGAAAAAUUAAUGUUCCAAACUUUUCAGAUAGAUUUGGUCCUAGCAUGUAUUUUGAUAGCACUACUACGUCCCCUCCAAAAGGUGCGAACUGACUCUUCCAUCUGUACCUGGAUCAUGUGGAGAAAGGACUGAGAAUGGAAGCAGAAAACAGACAUUGUCCUAUGUAGAGCAGACUGCCUGACAACAGCUCACUCUAAUAAAGGGCAAUAAAUGCCACACGAGAUGAUCCUCUCAUCACAAAACUUUACAUCUGACUUAUAUGCCUGGUCUGAUAACUUCUAUCUUUUUAUGACUCCUAAAUUGUGGAGAGAGAGAGCGCAAGCAUGAGCCUGGGAGGGGCAGAGAGAAAG